UUGGGAGUGAUUUAUUUUGCUGCCUUAUAAGGAGAGAAUAGAGAACCUUCAAGAUUGCAAGUAGAAAAUCAAGAUGGCUUAUUUAUUCGUAUUUGAGGAACUCAGUUGAAGGGUGAGAAUCUUAGGAAUUCAUAGAAGGAACUGGGUGAAGAGAAUUUCGAAGAAUAGUAUGAGGACUGUGUCAUGUACAAGUUCAUAAAGUGGAGAUGUGGGAGAAGGAAACCAAAUUCAACCUAAAAUUAAGCAGAUUUGAAGUAAAUUCCAAGGAAGAUUGAAGAGUGCAAGGAAAAAGGUAUAACCAU
rnacentral:lncRNA from 1 species